rnacentral:rRNA from 1 species
AUGGAGAGUUUGAUCCUGGCUCAGGGUUAACGCUGGCGGCGUGCCUAACACAUGCAAGUCGAGCGGGGAAGCCUAAGGCCCCUUUGGGGUACGGCUUCCCAGCGGCAAACGGGUGAGUAACACGUGGGUGACCUGCCCCGAAGAGGGGGAUAACCCUGGGAAACUGGGGCUAAUACCCCAUGUGCUUCGUGGGGUUAGAGGACCACGAAGUAAAGGGUGUGGUUAGCCGAAAGGCGCCACGCCGCUUCGGGAGGGGCCCGCGGCCCCUCCGGGAGGUGGUGGGGGCAUGGCCUACCAAGCCCAUGACCGGGAGACGGCC